GUCAGGUCACAACUACUGACCAAAGAGAAACCCAGCUCAUCACUUCUGCCCCUCCCACAGAUAAGCAGAACCCCCAGGACCACCAUCACUGUGAAUGAACAUGAAGUGAUGUUUGGUUAGGCAAGAGUCAGUGCAUGUCAGGCUAAUUUAUGAUAAUUACCAAGCCAUCGGCUGGUACCUGGACAAACUGUCUAUGAUUCUUCACCCAGCUGGCCUAGGUUCCACAAGUUCCCAAGAGGCUGUUCUUCCAGAUCCUCCAGUGCCUCACUCCCCUGUAAUGGGGUGAUAUGUCCACCAUCCUUGCCAUGUGACUUUGCAGUACCUCCCCCUAGAACAGACCAAGCAUGCCUCCCCACCAGACUGAUGUUGGGUUUGGCCGUGUGUUGGCUAAUGGAAUGUCGGUAGAACAUUUGGCAGUUAGGAGCCAAAGUCUUAAGAGCCAUCACACGUUUCCACUCGACAUCUUCUGCUGGAGUGAGCUGCCAUGUGAUGAACCUGUACUAGAGCACCUGUGGCCUUCUUAGCCCAAGCAAGCUCCAAAUCCCAGUGGAAAGCUCAGGCCUCUCCCGAAGGACCCAGGACCUCAGAAACUCUGAGCUGCUCUCCUCAACGCUUUAAUCUCUUCUUGCUGAAGCCCCCCACCCUAUUACUAAGAAACCGCUGCAGCUGCUACAGAUAGAAGAAACACAGGGACAUCAAGUUAUGAAAGGCCAAAUGACUUCCAUCCUUCCUUCCGUGAAACUUCACCAAGCACCCACCUGCUACUAGAUCCAAGGAUACAAAGCCAGUGGAGAGCCCCCCUCCUCUUUAUAGGGUUGUUCACAGGUUUGUGGGAGUUGAGCAGGUACGCAAAGAGCUCCAAUGGUGUGAGAUAAAGGCCUCUGCAAGCAAGCCUUUUUUGGUCAAAGAAAUGAAGAGCCAGUGUGGAAACCAGAUGUCUGGGUCUGAAGAGGCCAUCUCAGUCAUUAAUAGCACAGCAAAGGGCCACACUAGUUUGAACCCUGGAUCCUACCAUCUGGUGGCCCAGGGCAACAUAGACAAGGCUAAGUUGAUCUGCCUACAUCUGGAACAAAGGAGAUAGACCCCCAAACCAGAACAUUACAAGUAAAAGAAAUCUCCAAUUUGGUAAAAUCCACCCUGCAGUCUCUUUGCAAAUUACUCUCUUAUCUCUCGCUCCAUUCUUUCUCUAUCAGUUCCUCUCCAGCUCCUAAAGCUUCCACUGUAAUCACAUGCUUAGUAAACUUUCCAGGUUUUUGAUAUUAGAUUAGGGCAAGGAGAGAGGCUAAUCGACUUUUCAGCUGUUGCUGUGUAAUUCUGAGUAAGUCACUGUUUUUAAUAAGGAGGGUAAAAAUCUCAGAGGCAAAAAUCUUUUUUUAAAAAAAGGGAUCAAGGAUAUAUAUUGACUCACAGAAUAUACUAGAACUCUUCACGGCUUUGAGAGCUGGGCCAUUUAUUUUUCCUUUCAAAUGAAGUCCAAAGAGGUCAGCUGUUUAGAGUCUGAAACUCUGAGCUGGAAUCCCCAAACUCCCACGGGGUACUUGACUCCAGACCUCACCAGGUCCCUCACCUGGAAAAACAGGACUAAAAACACUGAUGUCACAGGGUCCCAGAGAGGGAUCCUGGUCAAGGCAGGUCCUCUCCUUUGUAUGGACUACACAGAUUUGCAAGGAAAAACAGAAGGCCUGUUUCAAACACCAUAAAAUACAAGGACAGACAGCCAGGGAAAGUCAGAGGUAAAAACCAAGAGAAUUAUUAAAGCCAAAACUAGAAAAUCUUGGCCACCUUGCCUCAAUCCUGAGAUUAAGGCAAGAUAAGCAACAGUGAAAGAUUAUUAAUACUGGGGCUUUGUAGUUCUUUAGGGAAAAAAAAACAACACUACAUAUUAACAACCUGAACCACUGUGUACUCUACCUAAGGCGAACAGAAAUGCCUGUGAUUGGGUGGCAGGGAAUAAGCUCCUCCCUAUAAACAGGCUGCCAGCCAGGCUGGCAGAAAUUAUCCAUGCUCAUGACAAACACCCUGUGCACUCCAAUCCCAAACACGCUAACUCCAUGACGACCCUCCACUGAGUCCCCUGCAAAUGUUCUCUGGAGCUGAUCCUUCUCAGUUGAAAUGCUGAGCUAGAAUCCAAUGCAGUAACGAACCCACACUCACUAACCCUGUUUUAAAUGCAUCUUUACUAAUUAUAGCCGCAUAGGGCCUUGAAGCCCUUACUACCUGUAAUUUUAGGAGCUGGAGAUAAUUACUACCCAGCAAAGUUUAGUUUUUGUCGAAAGUACCACAUAAAUAAGAAUUGAACAUGCACAGAUUUUGCUCCAGAAUGUUCAACACUAAAUUUUGUUUUUAAUUUCUUACCCAGCAACCAAUUAUCUACAGGAACUCAGAAGUUUGCAGAGCUUUAAGAAAGGAGAGCUGUCUCUCUCACCUAGGAUUUGGGAUCCUUUCAGAGCAUUUGUGAACAGCCUAAUCUAUGCUCUCUAUUAAAAAACAAAACAGGGGCGCCUGGGUGGCUCAGUUGGUUGAGCGGCCGACUUCGGCUCAGGUCAUGAUCUCGCAGUCCGUGAGUUCGAGCCCCGCAUCAGGCUCUGUGCUGACAGCUCGGAGCCUGGAGCCUGUUUCGGAUUCUGUGUCUCCCUCUCUCUGACCCUCCCCCGUUCAUGCUCUGUCUCUCUCUGUCUCAAAGAUAAAUAAACGUUAAAAAAAAAAUUAAAAAAAAAAACAACAAC